rnacentral:rRNA from 1 species
GUUACCUGCGGCGGCCUAAACAUGCAGUCGUAGCAGGGUAACGACGCAAUACGCUGACGACCGGCAAACGGGUGCGGAACACGUACACAACCUUCCUUUUAGUGGGGAAUAGCCCAGAGAAAUUUGGAUUAAUACCCCGUAACAUAACGAUGUGGCAUCACAUUGUUAUUAUAGGUUUACCGCUAAGAGAUGGGUGUGCGGCUGAUUAGGUAGUUGGCGGAGUAACAGCCCACCAAGCCAACGAUCAGUAGCUGAUGUGAGAGCAUGAUCAGCCACACGGGCACUGAGACACGGGCCCGACUCCUACGGGAGGCAGCAGUAAGGAAUAUUGGACAAUGGACGCAAGUCUGAUCCUGCCAUGCCGCGUGAAGGAUUAAGGCCCUCUGGGUUGUAAACUUCUUUUAUAGGGGACGAAAAAAGGGCUUUCUAGCUCGACUGACGGUACCCUAUGAAUAAGCACCGGCUAACUCCGUGCCAGCAGCCGCGGUAAUACGGAGGGUGCAAGCGUUAUCCGGAUUCACUGGGUUUAAAGGGUGCGUAGGCGGGCAGUUAAGUCAGUGGUGAAAUCUUCGAGCUCAACUCGGAAACUGCCAUUGAUACUAU